UAAUGUAAGACUGGGAAAAGAGAAAUGGAGCAAACAUAUUAAUUGGUAACACAAUCAUUUACACCAUAAAAGGCACAAGUAAAAUAAUGUGUUUUAGAGUGGAAUGUAAGCAAUGUGGGAAGUAUUCAUGGGCUGGUUGUGGCAAGCAUCUUGUCACUCUCUAUGAUAACAUAGAGAAAGGAAAGCAUUGCAUGUGCAAGUCGUGGCCUGGCGUUGUCAUCCCAGCUGAGACUGACCAACGACAACCAAAGGGAGCUAUAUCUGCACCCACUACAGCAGCUACACCAGGAAUUGCAAAAUCUUAGAAGAUGGAUGCUGGUCAGAAGUGCUGUUAUAGAGGGGUUUCACCACCAGAAACAUAUAUUAUUUUAAACUUGGCUAUGGCGAGAUGAGAUUACUCAAGUUAAAUAAUGCAAUGAAAUAGGGAUAUGGUCAAUGUUUUAUUGACCAUCUAUGUUCCUGCUUUGUUUCUUUGGUUGCAAAAUGUAUGGGUUAAUUAAUAAAGAAUCAAACUCUCGUUAUCUUG